GACGAACGCUGGCGGCGUGCUUAACACAUGCAAGUCGAACGGAAAGGCCCUGCUUUUGUGGGGUGCUCGAGUGGCGAACGGGUGAGUAACACGUGAGUAACCUGCCCUUGACUUUGGGAUAACUUCAGGAAACUGGGGCUAAUACCGGAUAGGAGCUCCUGCUGCAUGGUGGGGGUUGGAAAGUUUCGGCGGUUGGGGAUGGACUCGCGGCUUAUCAGCUUGUUGGUGGGGUAGGGGCUUCCCAAGGCUUUGGCGGGUAGCCGGCCUGGGAGGGUGCCCGGCCCCAUUGGGCCUGGGAUACGGCCCAGACUCCACCGGGGGGCAGCGGGGGGGAUUAUUGCACAAUGGGCGGAGGCCUGAUGCAGCAACGCCGCGUGCGGGAUGACGGCCUUCGGGUUGUAAACCGCUUUCGCCUGUGACGAAGCGUGAGUGACGGUAAUGGGUAAAGAAGCACCGGCUAACUACGU
rnacentral:rRNA from 1 species